GAUGAACGCUAGCUAUAGGCUUAACACAUGCAAGUCGAGGGGAAACGGCAUUAUGUGCUUGCACAUUCUGGACGUCGACCGGCGCACGGGUGAGUAUCGCGUAUCCAACCUUCCCUCCACUCGGGGAUACCCCGUUGAAAGACGGCCUAAUACCCGAUGUUGUCCACAUAUGGCAUCUGACGUGGACCAAAGAUUCAUCGGUGGAGGAUGGGGAUGCGUCUGAUUAGCUUGUUGGUGCGGGUAACGGCCCACCAAGGCGACGAUCAGUAGGGGUUCUGAGAGGAAGGUCCCCCACAUUGGAACUGAGACACGGUCCAAACUCCUACGGGAGGCAGCAGUGAGGAAUAUUGGUCAAUGGACGUAAGUCUGAACCAGCCAAGUAGCGUGCAGGAUUGACGGCCCUAUGGGUUGUAAACUGCUUUUGUUGGGGAGUAAAGUGAGGCACGCGUGCCUUUUUGCAUUUACCCUUCGAAUAAGGACCGGCUAAUUCCGUGCCAGCAGCCGCGGUAAUACGGAAGGUCCAGGCGUUAUCCGGAUUUAUUGGGUUUAAAGGGAGUGUAGGCGGUCUGUUAAGCGUGUUGUGAAAUUUAGGUGCUCAACAUCUACCUUGCAGCGCGAACUGGCGGACUUGAGUGCACGCAACGUAUGCGGAAUUCAUGGUGUAGCGGUGAAAUGCUUAGAUAUCAUGACGAACUCCGAUUGCGAAGGCAGCGUACGGGAGUGUUACUGACGCUUAAGCUCGAAGGUGCGGGUAUCGAACAGG
rnacentral:rRNA from 1 species